UUUACGCACAAACCAAACACAACUUUGGAUACGAUGUUUUUAGUCCAUCUGAGACAAAAUGUGUAUAUGGUUUCCAUAGUUUGCAUUAAAAAACAUUGUGAUUAUUUCAGGUAGCAGUGGCUUUCCAGAGUUGACAGUAGGCUUCAGACGACUAGAGGCAGAGAGGCGCACAGGUUUACAUAGCCCGCUGUCUCAAAGCAAUGCUAGUGAAAAGCUACCGAUUGCAUCAACUCUGACUUGAUUCCCUUUUGAUUUCUUGUAUUAGGAAAUGAGAAUGUCGACCAUUAGACCACUGAAAGCCUCCAGCUUGUUGACCAAAGCGAAUGUGUCAGAAAUGUAGAGGCGCUAUGCGGAGGCUGCUGUGUCUACUGAGAGGGGCAUUUUCGUUACGAGUGUGCAGAGCGUGUGACACUGAUGGAUGCGCCAAUGGUUAGACGGACAGAUGCUUGGGCGGAUCUAACCGCAUGCAGUGGUGUAGCGGUAUACGCAGCGACAUUAGGCUAAAACAUCCCGAAUCAGUGAAAGACUGCUCUUUCUCAUCCCUCAACAAGCCAGGCGAACCGAGAGGAGAUCUUGUUCCUAUCGAGCGACUCCUCUGCCACUAACAAGGGUUUGAUCCCCUCUGCGGUCAGAUAUUUCUGACUAUUGACUAGCGUGAGACUGGGAAACCACAACACGUCAGAGACAAGGACACACACAUCUGGCAGAAGAAAAAAUCAUUUGACAACUUACCGUAUUCUGGUUAGCGAGAAAAUAAUUUGCAUCCACAGUCAUUACCUUUCCAGCAGACAGCGGACCAAUUGUAUUCUAUCUUGAAGAUGAUCUGAAAAAGAUGGACAAUUUAUCCACUUUCCCCCUAAAUAAUACAGAAAUGUCUCUAAACAAGGAGAACGCAUGAUACGGAUUUUGUGCCUGACUCACUUGAGCAGAAGAAGGCAUCUUGCAGGAAGGAAGACUCGUCUGAUUCGCUGUUGCUGUUUUAAAUACCUACUAUCAGCCACACAAAGAAGGGGAAAAAGUGCUAUUAGCAGCCAAGAAAGUGUUUGGCAAUAGCUGCUGAUCCAUGCUCUCAGAGCAGCUGAGGCACAGCACGAGUCCAUCCCCUCCUUCUGAUGUACAUUAUUACAACAAGGGAUACCCAAUCAAGCACGUAUCUCAUCGAUUCGAACUGCUCUCAGUGGAUUUUGAACGCGCUUGGACAAAAUAACGGAGCGAGCCAGCGUGUGGGCGACUAGUCGGUCCAUCUCUUCUUUCAACCUUUGUCUUUACCUCUCUAUCUUAAAAACAAUAUAUAUAGUUGUUGAUGUUUUAAAGGGACUUGGAAACGCUGGAAUUUUCAUACGAUGGCUACAGCGACGCUGAGACGCUGCCUUGCUGUUUUUUAAAUUGCAUGUGAUUACUGGAAUCCUCAUGGAUAACGCAGUUAAUCAACCGAUUGACUUGCCUGUUGCAGCCUCCAACACGGAGUGAGAAUCACAUUGAGGCUGAAUAUUUUUUUCCCCACCACUGUACUCUCCGUCUCCACACUGUGAUAUCGAAGUCGAACAGGAGAAAGAAAAGAAACGCUUGUUCCUCUUCAUCUUCAGAUCUACCCUUUCUUCAAUGUCUGCAUUUUUGUUUGAAAACUGCCGAUCUAUGUCAGCCCUCUGAAA